UACGGAAGGGGGCUAGCGUUGCUCGGAAUUACUGGGCGUAAAGGGCGCGUAGGCGGAUCGUUAAGUCAGAGGUGAAAGCCCAGGGCUCAACCCUGGAAUUGCCUUUGAUACUGGCGAUCUUGAGUACGGGAGAGGUGUGUGGAACUCCGAGUGUAGAGGUGAAAUUCGUAGAUAUUCGGAAGAACACCAGUGGCGAAGGCGACACACUGGCCCGUUACUGACGCUGAGGCGCGAAAGCGUGGGGAGCAAACAGG
rnacentral:rRNA from 1 species